rnacentral:tRNA from 1 species
UAGAUGGAGGCUUAUUGGUUUGAGUGCUUAGCUGUUAACUAAGAGUUUGUAGGAUCAAAGCCUUCUCAUCUAG